CGGAUCCAGGUACUGGCGAGCUAUGGCGGCCGCCCUAGCUGGAUCCGCCGGAAUGUUCACUACCGCCGGGCACCAGAACCAGAAGUUGCAAUUGCAGAGAAAGAAGCCGAGGAAGAUGAAUGAAUUCCAUCUGGGUCCAAAUCCAAUCCAUAUAUUUUGAUCGAAGUGGAGUUGUUGCUGCUGAGUGUUGACACCUGACGGGUGGCGAGAGGUGUUGGGCGACGAGACGACUCGUCGUCGACCUUCCAAUCUCCGGUCUUAGAGUCUCAGAGUGUGAAUCUGGGUUUGAAGAUGACUAUCGAGUGUUGAUUACUGGGGAGCCUUCUUAAUGAUGCAUUUCAAAGAGAAGUUGGGAACCAAUUCAUGGAGAAAGUUUAAAGGACUCUGGACUAGAGUCCUCACUCCUCGCUCAGGUUCCUUUAGAUUUUUUUUUUUUCAACGCUGACUCUUGAAGAUUUUUCUGUUUUUCAUUUGUUCUUCCUACUUUCCUAAAUUAUGGGCUCUACUAGGUUGCUGUUAUUAU